rnacentral:rRNA from 1 species
UACGGAGGGUGCAAGCGUUAUCCGGAUUCACUGGGUUUAAAGGGAGCGUAGGUGGCUUUGUAAGUCAGUGGUGAAAUAUUGCGGCUCAACCGCAAAACUGCCAUUGAUACUGCUUAGCUUGAAUCACGUCGAGGUGGAUGGAAUAAUACAUGUAGCGGUGAAAAUGCUUAGAUAUGUAUUAGAACACCGAUUGCGAAGGCAGUUCACUAGGCGUGUAUUGACACUGAGGCUCGAAAAGCGUGGGGAUCAAACAGG